UAUGUGAUCGUCUCUCGCAUAUCAAUAAGCGGAGGAAAAGAAACUAACAAGGAUUCCCCUAGUAACGGCGAGUGAAGCGGGAAGAGCUCAAAUUUGAAAUCUUAAAGGGUUUCCCUUUACGAAUUGUAGUUUAAAGAAGUGUUUUCUGUUGAGGUUUUGGUAAAAGUUCUUUGGAAUAGGACAUCAUAGAGGGUGAGAAUCCCGUAUUUGACCUUUACUUUCAACUUUGUGAUACACUUUCAAAGAGUCGGAUUGUUUGGGAAUGCAGUCCAAAAUGGGUGGUAAAUUUCAUCUAAAGCUAAAUAUUGGCGAGAGACCGAUAGCGAACAAGUACCGUGAGGGAAAGAUGAAAAGAACUUUGAAAAGAGGGUUAAACAGUACGUGAAAUUGUCAAAAGGGAAGCGUUUGACACCAGUGUUGUUUUUCUGAAAAUCAAUUAAAGAACUGUUUAUGCUAAGCUGUUUAGACUUUAUCAGCUAACUGUUUAGUUUGAGCUUUUCUUUAAUGCACUUUUCAGUUAACAAGUCAACAUCAAUUUCUUUUGCUGUAAAAAAGCUUGAGGAAGGUGGCUUGAGAUUCGUCUUAAGUGUUUAUAGCCUCUUGCCUAUGCAGUCGGAGAGAUUGAGGUCUGCAGCGUAGAUCCUUCGGGGCUAAAUGCAUUUGUGCUAAGUUAUAGCAUUUUAUAGACAACUUGUUGACUAUGAUUUGUCUUGUAGCUUACUCGCUUAUGUUAUUUUACCUACGCUUAGGAUGUUGACGCGCGUGUGUGCGUG
rnacentral:rRNA from 1 species